ensembl:lncRNA
AAGGUGAGAGGAUAUUUCAUAUCCGUAAAGUACUUAGAGCAGUGUCUGCCCUUUAGCAGGCGUUAGUAGUGGUUGAUUAAAGAAAUGGCUAAAUGCAUACCUAACUAUUCAAGGCUGGGAGGCUGUCCCUGGUGAAACGUGUGAACUUGAAUGGAUUACACCCAACUUUGUUUUUGUUUUGUUUCCUUUCCGGCUUGCAGUUGCUACUGACCGCAUCUGCAGCACUGUGGAAUUAGAAAUAAUCUCCCUGGACUUGGCUGCUCUUGGUAAAACAAUCUAAUGCUGUCCAAAUUAUCCCAGGGAAAUAAAAGCCUUUUCAGUAGCAUAGUAGGGUUAGGCUUAUUUAAUAUGUAUUGUUUAUAUUGGUUUGUUUAGUGUUUGUUGGUAACUUUGUGUUUUUUCUUUCUUUUUUUUUUUGGCAAAGCUGCUCGGUUAAAAAAAGCAGAUUAGCUAGGAAAUGGUUCAGACCCAGAGAAAAGUAGAGAGUCGUGUAAGCAGAGCACGCCUUUCCUUGACUCUCUGUCGAGAGCUUUUGUGAUUCCAGCUGCUCUCUGCCUCAGACACGGUGCCCUCUGCGUGUGCAGUCAUCUAAACAGUGCAGGGUCUGGGACCGUGGAGAAUCCAAGGCAGUAUAGUCAUGCUUUGCUUAACGGUGGGGAUAAGUUCUGAGGAGUGUGUCAUGGUCAGGCAAUCUCGAGACUGUGCCGACACCACGGAGUUCCUAAACCUGGAUGGCAGAGCCUCCUACACACCUAGGCCAUGUGGGACUAAUCUGAUGGGACCCCCGUUGUUGACUGAAACGUCCCGAUGUAGGGCAUGACUGUACUUCCCAACUCCAAGGGCACGGAAGUGUAGCCUGUGGGGCUUUGGAAAAGAACAGAGACGCUCAAGGCCUACUCUGGACCCACUGACUCAGAAUCUACUGGGAUAGUUCCCGGCUUUAAAGACCAGACGUAGUCCGCCUCUGCAGACAUCUCAUCAACGGUUUUUCACGCUGGGCUUUCCCUCAUCUGAGAAAACAGGCCAAGAGAUUGUGAGGCUCCAUAGUUAGUGUUUUAAUACAUUUGGCGGGACUCAGUGUUUUUCACGUUCUGUGAUACUGGGAUCUGCAUCUGCACUGUAAUGUGUUAAACCUUGAAAUCUUGUCCUUCCUAAACCUGGAUGGCAGAGCCUCCUACACACCUAGGCCAUGUGGGACUAAUCUGAUGGGACCCCCGUUGUUGACUGAAACGUCCCGAUGUAGGGCAUGACUGUACUUCCCAACUCCAAGGGCACGGAAGUGUAGCCUGUGGGGCUUUGGAAAAGAACAGAGACGCUCAAGGCCUACUCUGGACCCACUGACUCAGAAUCUACUGGGAUAGUUCCCGGCUUUAAAGACCAGACGUAGUCCGCCUCUGCAGACAUCUCAUCAACGGUUUUUCACGCUGGGCUUUCCCUCAUCUGAGAAAACAGGCCAAGAGAUUGUGAGGCUCCAUAGUUAGUGUUUUAAUACAUUUGGCGGGACUCAGUGUUUUUCACGUUCUGUGAUACUGGGAUCUGCAUCUGCACUGUAAUGUGUUAAACCUUGAAAUCUUGUCCAAAAGUCAUGUCAUUACCUAGAGAAUCCUUCUGUGAAUUCCAGGCAGAUUGCCAUCUUUCUGCUUCCGCCUCCUCACCUUGACAAUGGGGAGAAUAACGGUAACCUACCUUUUGGAUGUGAGGAUUAAAUGAGACAGUUGGUGCAAAGCAGUCGGCACAGGAUCUGGCACAAAGUGCAGCCUUCAAUCAAUUAUGAUGACAGUAGUUUUGAUUUCCCUCCAGUCGGAAUAUAGUUGAGUUGAAGUUAGUGGCUGUGUCACAGCUGUGUCUCAGGCUGGUGUCUGCCGCCCUGAGCUAAGCCAUAAAAUUCCCUGGAAUAACUUUUCAAAAGCCUGUUAGCCUCUUGAGGCUCCUACACUUUUUUAUUUUAUUUUAUUUUAUUUUAUUUUAUUGCAGUAACAGUGGAUCCUAAGAUGAUAUAGCUUUCAGAUGUACGUUGUAAUAUAUUUUGAAUUCUGUGUAGAUUACAUCGUGUUCACCACCCGAAAACUAAUGAUAGUCCGUCACCUCACAUGUGAGCCUCAUCGCCCCUUUGGCUCUCUCCCCUCCCCCCUCCCCUAUGGUAACCACCAAUGCAAUCUCCUUUGCUCUGUGCGCGUUUGUCGUUGUUUUUAUCUUCUCCUUAUGAGUGAGAUCACACGGUGUUUGACUUUGUCCCUCUGAUUUAUUUCACUUCACAUAAUACCCUCAAGGUCCAUCGAAGUUGUCACAAAUGGGCGGAUCUCAUCAUUUCUUAGGGCCGAGUGGCAUUCCAUUGUGUAUACAUACCACAUCUUCUUUAUCCAUUCUUCCCUUGAUGGGCACCUAGGUUGCUUCCAAGUUUUGGCUGUUGUGAAUAAUGCUGCAGUGAACCCAGGGGUGCAUGUGUCUUUCUGCAUUGGUGUUUUCAAGUUCUUUGGAUGAAUAGCCAGCAGUGGGCUAGCUGGAUCUACAUAUGGUAGAUGUGUUCUUAGUUUUCUGAGGAUACUCCAUACUGCUUUCCAUAGUGGCUGCACCAGUCUGCCCUCCCACCAGCAGUGCAGGAGAGUUCCCUUCUCUGCACAUCCUCUCCGACACUUGUCUCUUGUCUUGUUAAUUAGAGCCAUUCUGACCAGAGUAAGGUGACAUCUCCUUGUAGUUGUGAUUUGCAUUUCUCUGAUCGCUAAGGAUGUUGAGUCCCUUUCCAUAUGCCUGUUGGCCAUCCGUAUACCUUCUUUGGAGAAAUCACUGCUCAGAUCUUUUGCCCGCCUUUUCAAUUGGGUUGUUGAUUUUUUUUGCUGUUGAGAUGUAUGAGUUCUUUCUGUGUUUUGGAUAUUAACCCCUUAUCCGAUAUACGGUUUGCAAGAAUCUUCUCCCAGUUGUUAGGUUGUGUUUUGGUUUUGUGGAUGGUUUCCUUUGCGGUGCAGAGGAUGUUUUUUGACUUUGAUGUAGUCCCGUUUGUUCAUUUUGUAUUUUGUUUCCCUUGCCCAGUCAGACGUGGUACUUGAAAAUAGGCUGCUAAGACUGAUGUCAAAGAGCACACUGCCUAUGUUUGCUUGUAGACGUUGCAUGGUUUCGGGUCUGACAUUCAAGUGAAAGCCGAGGGAGGAGGCUGCAGUUCCCCGAGAGCGAGCGUAGCGGGGACCCUGCGUCCCUGUCAGCGCACCUUCCCGCUGCGCGAAGGUCCGAAGCGUGUGGGCGGGGCCGCAGGAGUUCUCCCAGGAGGGUGUCCCCGUCGCUGUCCGCAGUCCACCGCCGGAGGGGGGGGCGGGGCAACGGCCGGGCAGCGUCUGGGCGGCGGCGCGCGCGCGCGAGGAGAGGAGAGGAGAGGAGCGCGCGGCUGCUGGGCCGCCGUCCUGGGAGGCGUGGGAGGCGUCGGCGAGCCGCGCCUGCCUGCCCAGAGCCGAGCCCGGCGGAGUCCGGCCGCGCUGUGCUGCUCUCUCCCGGGCCGGGCUCGUCCGUUCCCCCGGCGUCCGUGGACGCCGCUCCGCGUCCCCGCUGGGCACAGCAGCCCGGGCCCUCCACAGCCACGGCCGCUAGCCUGAGGAGGCCGUCCUUCAGCUCCCGCUCUUCCUGCUCGCCGGACACGGAGGACCAGGGCGCCUGCGAAGAGGAUUCCAUCUGAGAGAGGUACCUGGGGGGCGUGGGCCUGGGGGCUGGUGGGAGGCGAGCGUGUCCCGAGGAAUAGGCUUGUGCGCCGAGAGGUGCCCGUCAGGUCGCGGGACAGCUGUGCGGCGCGGGGAGCGAGGGGGUCUCUUCGUGCGCUUGAGGCGUUCGUGGAACGGGCGGUGUGUGCCGGGCACGGGGCCAGCCUGGGCGUGCGGUGCCCGGGAGUCGGGCGCUGAAGCGCCACCCGUGGUCUCGGCUUCUUGGAAGGACAGACGCGAAGUCGAUAAGGACACUGGUCUCGAGGCGUUCUGAGGAGUGCGGGUCUCCCUCUUUUCGAGGCUACGUUCCGUUGGGGUUUUCACGAAGCCUGUUGUGGGCCUGAAGCUCAGGCCGGUUCAGGGGAAGUGGCCUGUCGAGGGCCACGUAAUAUUUGUGUGCAGAGGCCAGUGCUUUCCAAAGCCCUUGACUGUGCAGAAGUCUACCUGUUAGGGGUGCAGUGGGGGCUGUCCGGGGAGCGUUGUGAGCACAGGUAUGUGCCCCACACUUGAAAGUCUGGAAAGAAAGCCGUGAGGCUGGAGGGUGCUCCGUUCGUUCCCUCCUUGCACAGAAAGUCUGGAGAGUUGACUUUGGGACAAGUCCUUCCUUUCCUCUGGUCGGUGCGUGUUCGGUGGCCUGGACACUUGGUGAGCAAGACUGACAGGGUGUUUGACGUACUGGACCUCACAGCCUGGUUGGAAAGGACAGACAGGCAGCAACCAAUUACCUAGGAGAUACGUAAAGGCACUUUCGUGUUGAGUGUUGAGAAAUACGGCAUUUUACUGUUAGACUUUGUGACUUAGGCAGUGAUGUUGAAGCUGAGAGCAGAGGCCUAAAAGACAAGGAGGACUUGUGCGGGAGAGUGUUGGGACAGGGCAAGGGAGGAGGAUGGCCUGUCAGAGGAGCUGAAAGAAUGCCCUGGAGACUGGGGCCGCCGCGUAGGGACUGUAGGGUGGGGAAGACAAAACUUUUCCAUUGAGGCUGGCGCUUUCUCUAGGUUUUUGGAGACUAAGCGUGGUGAUUCAGAACGUGGCCUCUGGAGCCAGACUCUGUCAAAUGGGUCCUGGCUCUGCCACCUACGGGCUGUGUGAACUUGGGCAAGUUACUGUGCCAUUCUGUGUGUCAGUUUCCUGAUCUGUAAAACGGGGAUGGUUAUCAUACACACUCCAUAGGUGAGUGUAAAGGUGAGAGGAUAUUUCAUAUCCGUAGAGUACUUAGAGCAGUGUCUGGCCUUAGUAGGCGUUAGUAGUGAUUGA